AAAAAAGUAAGUACAAUGUUGUCUAGGAAAUACAUAAAUGAAACAUGAUGAAAGGAUAGGAGGAAAUGCCAAGGCCUGCAGGAUCUCCGAAUAGAUUGAAGGCAUCAACCCCAAAGCUAAGGUCCGUAAGCUCCAGUAUUGGGAUCUGCACACAGUGCAAACUGUAGUAUCAGUACAACCAACCUCAUGUGCUGGUAAGUGCCUAGCAUAACCGCAGGGAAGUAGUGAUGAAGCUAGG
rnacentral:lncRNA from 1 species